UCUGAUAGCUCAACUAUAGGCUUCGGGGGAUACUGCCAGACUUGGAACCGGGAGAGGUAAGAGGUACUACAGGGGUAGGAGUGAAAUCUUGUAAUCCCUGUGGGACCACCUGUGGCGAAGGCGUCUUACCAGAACGGGUUCGACGGUGAGGGACGAAAGCGUGGGGGCACGAACCGGAUUAGAUACCCGGGUAGUCCCAGCCCGUAAACGAUGCUCGCUAGGUGUCAGGCAUGGCGCGACCGUGUCUGGUGCCGCAGGGAAGCCGUGAAGCGAGCCACCUGGGAAGUACGGCCGCAAGGCUGAAACUUAAAGGAAUUGGCGGGGGAGCACAACAACGGGUGGAACGCCUGCGGUUUAAUUGGACUCAACGCCGGACAACUCGACCGGGGGCGACAGCAAUAUGUAGGCCAAGCUGAAGACUUUGCCUGAAUCGCUGAGGGGUGGUGCAUGG
rnacentral:rRNA from 1 species